GCAGAUUUGAUUUGAGGAGAAUAUAAGCGAAAAAAAGACUGCUCAAAUUGCACAGCCAGUAAAAAAUCGAUCUUUUCAAAAACAGAAAUUACAAUAAAUAAAAAUCGUCCACUCUGUUUCUUCCCAACGUUCCAAGAAUGCAUGCUGCGUUUCCCCUUUGAAUAGCAAUUGAAAUUCUUUGCAACAAGUAGUCUGUUGAACGCUUUUCCCCUGAUGCUUUUUUCAUCAAUGAUCCUAAUUUCAUGACAAAUUUAUUUGUUUCUGGACCCAUACAACCUAAAGAUUCAAAAGCAAGCGGGGUGAAUAAAUAAUUUUCUUUAAGUUUUCUAUAAUGAUUAUGUUUUAAUCUCUCCGCUUUCUCUGCAAUUGACCGCGCUUUUUUAGAAGUUUCAUUAAUGUACGAAGGAGCCAACGUAUCACGCACCGUCACA